AGGGUGCAAGCGUUAAUCGGAAUUACUGGGCGUAAAGCGCGCGCAGGCGGCCUUUUAAGUCUGAUGUGAAAGCCCACGGCUUAACCGUGGAAGGUCAUUGGAAACUGGAAGGCUUGAGGAUAGAAGAGGAAAGUGGAAUUCCACGUGUAGCGGUGAAAUGCGUAGAGAUGUGGAGGAACACCAGUGGCGAAGGCGACUUUCUGGUCUAUAACUGACGCUGAGGCGCGAAAGCAUGGGGAGCAA
rnacentral:rRNA from 1 species